GACGAACGCUGGCGGCGUGCUUAACACAUGCAAGUCGAACGGUGAAGCGCCUUCCUUUUUGGUGAGUGUGGAUGAGUGGCGAACGGGUGAGUAACACGUGAGUAACCUGCCCCCUUCUUCUGGAUAACCGCAUGAAAGUGUGGCUAAUACGGGAUAUUCUGGGUCUGUCGCAUGAUGGGUCUGGGAAAGAUAUUGUUUCGGUGGGGGAUGGGCUCGCGGCCUAUCAGCUUGUUGGUGGGGUGAUGGCCUACCAAGGCGGUGACGGGUAGCCGGCCUGAGAGGGUGGACGGUCACACUGGGACUGAGACACGGCCCAGACUCCUACGGGAGGCAGCAGUGGGGAAUAUUGCACAAUGGGCGCAAGCCUGAUGCAGCGACGCCGCGUGAGGGAUGGAGGCCUUCGGGUUGUGAACCUCUUUCGCCAGUGAAGCAGGCCUGCCUCGUUUGUGGGUGGGUUGACGGUAGCUGGAGAAGAAGCGCCGGCUAACUACGUG
rnacentral:rRNA from 1 species